GUGCCAGCCGCCGCGGUAAUACGUAGGGUGCAAGCGUUAAUCGGAAUUACUGGGCGUAAAGCGUGCGCAGGCGGUUAUGCAAGACAGAGGUGAAAUCCCCGGGCUCAACCUGGGAACUGCCUUUGUGACUGCAUGGCUAGAGUACGGUAGAGGGGGAUGGAAUUCCGCGUGUAGCAGUGAAAUGCGUAGAUAUGCGGAGGAACACCGAUGGCGAAGGCAAUCCCCUGGACCUGUACUGACGCUCAUGCACGAAAGCGUGGGGAGCAAACAGGAUUAGAAACCCCCGUAGUCC
rnacentral:rRNA from 1 species